rnacentral:rRNA from 1 species
UUGGUUAAGUUAGAAAGGGCGCACGGUGGAUGCCUUGGCACUAGGAGCCGAAGAAGGACGGGACUAACACCGAUAUGCUUUGGGGAGCUGUACGUAAGCGUUGAUCCAGAGAUUUCCGAAUGGGGGAACCCACUAUCUUUAGUCGGAUAGUAUCCUUACGUGAAUACAUAGCGUGAGGAAGGCAGACCCAGGGAACUGAAACAUCUAAGUACCUGGAGGAAGAGAAAGAAAAAUCGAUUUCCUGAGUAGCGGCGAGCGAAACGGAAAGAGCCCAAACCAAGAAGCUUGCUUCUUGGGGUUGUAGGACACUCUAUACGGAGUUACAAAAGAAAGUUAUAAAUGAAGCGGUCUGGAAAGGCCCGCCAAAGACGGUAACAGCCCGGUAGUUGAAAUGGCUUUCCCUCCAGAGUGGAUCCUGAGUACGGCGGAACACGUGAAAUUCCGUCGGAAUCCGGGAGGACCAUCUCCCAAGGCUAAAUACUCCCUAGUGACCGAUAGUGAACCAGUACCGUGAGGGAAAGGUGAAAAGCACCCCGGAAGGGGAGUGAAACAGUUCCUGAAACCGUGUGCCUACAAGUAGUUAGAGCCCGUUAAUGGGUGAUAGCGUGCCUUUUGUAGAAUGAACCGGCGAGUUACGAUUUGUUGCAAGGUUAAGCGGAAAAAGCGGAGCCGUAGCGAAAGCGAGUCUGAAUAGGGCGCAUAAGUAACAGGUCGUAGACCCGAAACCAGGUGAUCUACCCAUGUCCAGGAUGAAGGUAAGGUAAUACUUACUGGAGGUCCGAACCCACGCACGUUGAAAAGUGCGGGGAUGAGGUGUGGGUAGCGGAGAAAUUCCAAUCGAACUUGGAGAUAGCUGGUUCUCUCCGAAAUAGCUUUAGGGCUAGCCUCGAGGUAAAGAGUCAUGGAGGUAGAGCACUGUUUGGACUAGGGGCCCUUCUCGGGUUACCGAAUUCAGAUAAACUCCGAAUGCCAUGUACUUAUACUCGGGAGUCAGACUGCGAGUGAUAAGAUCCGUAGUCGAAAGGGAAACAGCCCAGACCACCAGUUAAGGUCCCCAAAUAUAUGUUAAGUGGAAAAGGAUGUGGGGUUGCUUAGACAACCAGGAUGUUGGCUUAGAAGCAGCCACCAUUGAAAGAGUGCGUAAUAGCUCACUGGUCGAGUGACCCCGCGCCGAAAAUGUACCGGGGCUAAACAUAUUACCGAAACUGUGGAUGAACCUCUUUAGAGGUUCGUGGUAGGAGAGCGUUCUAAGGGCGGUGAAGUCAGACCGGAAGGACUGGUGGAGCGCUUAGAAGUGAGAAUGCCGGUAUGAGUAGCGAAAGAAGGGUGAGAAUCCCUUCCACCGAAUAUCUAAGGUUUCCUGAGGAAGGCUCGUCCGCUCAGGGUUAGUCGGGACCUAAGCCGAGGCCGAUAGGCGUAGGCGAUGGACAACAGGUAGAGAUUCCUGUACCAGUGCUAAUUGUUUAACCGAUGGGGUGACACAGAAGGAUAGGGAAUCGCACGAAUGGAAAUGUGCGUCCAAGCAGUGAGUGUGAGAAGUAGGCAAAUCCGCUUCUCGCGAAGCAUGAGCUGUGAUGGGGAAGGAAAUUAAGUACGGAAGUUCCUGAUUUCACGCUGUCAAGAAAAGCCUCUAGGAAGAGUAGUACUGCCCGUACCGCAAACCGACACAGGUAGAUGAGGAGAGAAUCCUAAGGUGAGCGAGAGAACUCUCGUUAAGGAACUCGGCAAAAUGACCCCGUAACUUCGGGAGAAGGGGUGCUCUAUUAGGGUGCAAGCCCGAGAGAGCCGCAGUGAAUAGGCCCAGGCGACUGUUUAGCAAAAACACAGGUCUCUGCAAAACCGUAAGGUGACGUAUAGGGGCUGACGCCUGCCCGGUGCUGGAAGGUUAAGAGGAGUGCUUAGCUUCGGCGAAGGUACGAAUUGAAGCCCCAGUAAACGGCGGCCGUAACUAUAACGGUCCUAAGGUAGCGAAAUUCCUUGUCGGGUAAGUUCCGACCCGCACGAAAGGCGCAACGAUCUGGGCACUGUCUCAACGAGAGACUCGGUGAAAUUAUAGUACCUGUGAAGAUGCAGGUUACCCGCGACAGGACGGAAAGA